GGGGAUGUAAAGGUUUCGACAUAUUACCAGAAAAACAGAUAGCAAGUAGUGGAUUCUCGUUGGCCACUUAAAAAACGAGAAAAUAAAAAUAAACGCUAACAACGAAGAAUUAGCAUACGCUGCCUAGUUUGCAACGUCAUCUGAACUAAAUAGCCUACUGAUUUAGUAAGGGUGUUAUAACUAAAGUAGGAAACAAAGCUAUUUUGGCUUUAGAAAUAGUGGGUAUUUUAUAAAGCUAUAUUUUUAAUUAGCGUGUUUAUCCGCGAGUUAAAGAUGAAAAUAAAAGAUAAAAUAAACUUGUAGAGGUCUAUUUGGAAAGUAUUAUGGACAGGGGUUCGACUCCCCUCAUCUCCACCA
rnacentral:tmRNA from 1 species